rnacentral:lncRNA from 1 species
CCCUUCCCUUCAGCAGUUCCCAGCUCCUCACUUGCCCAGUAACACCAUAAAGCUUCAGAUGAGUUUGGGCUGUGUGUGAGGGCUAGAGUUGCCUGCAGCUCCCCUGCCCUUUAGCCCAGCCAUGUGUGUAACCUGCACACCCCUCACUGCUCACACUCCUGGGGAUUUGGCACUGAGGUGAUGCAGGAUACAUCCCUGAGUCUGGUUUGCAUGGGCGCCCCGGCCAUCUUCCCACACUGGGUAACUACCUUCUGUCUCCCCAAAUUCCCCCUGCAGUUUCAAGUGGAUGUGGGAUUCUCCUUCUCUUCCAGUCUUAGUCUGCUGUGUAGCGUUGCUGCGUGCUGCUCUGCCGCUGCUGCCUUCCAGCCCAGAGCAUUGCAGUGGUGGGUGAGUGAGUCCUGCUUUUGUACCUAGCUCUGAAGUGCUUUGGGGCCCUGCAGGGCGCUCUGGAGCUGUGGCUAGGGCAUGUCAGGCUGAGGGGCUGGCUGGGGUAAGCUGGGCAGACCCCAGGCUGGUGGUGAUUCACCAGCAGGUCCCUUCAGAAGGCAUAUCUCUCCUCUCUGCUUUCUCCCAGCAGCUGGUGAGGAACACAUUGCUGGAGUGCCACUUACACCCACUGCCAUGCCACAUGCUGGUUGCUGCUUCUCUCCCCGCUCCCUUGUGGGUUUUCCUGGUGAGACGUCCCUGGGGAUGGGAAGAAGAAACCAAGUGCUGCCAUUGGCUGCUGCAGCCACAGGCUCCCACGAGACAUCAGCCAUGAGUGGACUGCCAGCAGCAGGUGAAGAUGCAUCAGACACAAGCCUGCAUGGUGGGUGCUCCCUGCAGCUUCCUGGCAGCCUCACAGGGUACUCUUGGAGCCAUGGUGAGGUGCCACUGACCCCUCUCUCACUGCAGGGUCAGGCAUGGCAGGCUUGCUCCAGAAUGUGCAGCAACUGCUGGUGCAGAUCCUGCAGACAUCACGGCAGCAGCAGGCACUACUGGAGAGUCUGGCCAGUGACACAGUCUCCCACCUCCACCAUAUCUCCCACAGCCUUGUGCAGGUGGGCGAGACCCUGCACCAACUCCUGCUCCGACCACAUCCUGGCCCCAUUGGCCACUAUGUCCCCCACAUGCCCCUUUUUGAGGGUGGCUCUUGCUCCUGUGGUGCUCCUCACACUUUCCUGGACCACAAAGAGGAGCCUCAGCUGUCCUGUGAUGCCAGGUGCAUCCCACCCUGAGUGCCACCAUCACUGGCCCCAGGAUUUGGUACAGAGCUUAGCACAAAUCUUUAUGUCAGAGGUUCCAGAUAUUUUGAAAGUUUAUACUAGAGAGACAUUUUGAUGAAAUUAAAAAUAGCUUUUCUACCAGUGAUGGCAACUGACCAAUUCUUUCCCCCUCUCUGGGGAAUGUUCCCCUUCUCACUUUCGAGAUGAGCAUGAGGGGAACUCAGCUGUUUACAGACUUAGAGAAAGUCCCAACCCACACAGCAAGGGACAGAUGUACUUUUCCUACCCUGUGGUGGUCAUCACACCUUCCUGGGAGAUGCUGGGCUGUGGAGCAGAGCAGGGCCACUGCCAGGAGUGGAGGCCAGGAAGCCCAGGCUGCAUCUUUCUCCAAAGGAAGAGGCUGAGGUGGAUGAUGCUGCAGUGUGUGCAGCAGCCACAGUCCCUCGGUGUCCAGGUCCUUGGCAGGGAUCUUCCAGGGAACAAUCUGGGACUUUCACACCCAGUACUGUGAGCUUGCCACACUUCUGGUGAGGCCCUUGUGCUCCAUGAGAGAUCCUCCUGCUUCAGUACAUGGAUCAUCAUCAGGUAACAGUAGCUGCAGAAAUACCAUGGCAUGUGCCUAAAGAAGAGACCUCUGACUUGCCUGGACCCCACCACAUCCUCCGUGGGGAUGGGGCAAUGUGCUGUCUGCCUCCAGAAUCUCUGCCACAUCCAAGGAGUGGAAAUGUACAUCGUGUAGACAUCAUGAAAGUGGUCCUGCCAUGCCAGAUGCUGUGUGCUGGAAGUGUGG